rnacentral:rRNA from 2 species
GCAAUGGACGAAAGUCUGACGGAGCAACGCCGCGUGAGUGAUGAAGGUUUUCGGAUCGUAAAGCUCYGUUGUUAGAGAAGAACAAGUACCGUUCGAAUAGGGCGGUACCUUGACGGUACCUAACCAGAAAGCCACGGCUAACUACGUGCCAGCAGCCGCGGUAAUACGUAGGUGGCAAGCGUUGUCCGGAAUUAUUGGGCGUAAAGGGCUCGCAGGCGGUUUCUUAAGUCUGAUGUGAAAGCCCCCGGCUCAACCGGGGAGAGUCAUUGGAAACUGGGGAACUUGAGUGCAGAAGAGGAGAGUGGAAUUCCACGUGUAGCGGUGAAAUGCGUAGAGAUGUGGAGGAACACCAGUGGCGAAGGCGACUCUCUGGUCUGUAACUGACGCUGAGGAGCGAAAGCGUGGGGAGCGAACAGGAUUAGAUACCCUGGUAGUCCACGCCGUAAACGAUGAGUGCUAAGUGUUAGGGGGUUUCCGCCCCUUAGUGCUGCAGCUAACGCAUUAAGCACUCCGCCUGGGGAGUACGGUCGCAAGACUGAAACUCAAAGGAAUUGACGGGGGCCCGCACAAGCGGUGGAGCAUGUGGUUUAAUUCGAAGCAACGCGAAGAACCUUACCAGGUCUUGACAUCCUCUGACAAUCCUAGAGAUAGGACGUCCCCUUCGGGGGCAGAGUGACAGGUGGUGCAUGGUUGUCGUCAGCUCGUGUCGUGAGAUGUUGGGUUAAGUCCCGCAACGAGCGCAACCCUUGAUCUUAGUUGCCAGCAUUCAGUUGGGCACUCUAAGGUGACUGCCGGUGACAAACCGGAGGAAGGUGGGGAUGACGUCAAAUCAUCAUGCCCCUUAUGACCUGGGCUACACACGUGCUACAAUGGACAGAACAAAGGGCAGCGAAACCGCGAGGUUAAGCCAAUCCCACAAAUCUG